GUCGUGCCCUCCCUCCCCCACUGAAUCGAUAAAUAAUGCGACUUAUCAGAAAGAGAAAGAAUUGUUUACUUUUAAACCCUGGAUCCCAUAAAGGGAGAGGGGAGAGGCCUAAAGCCACAGAAGCUGUGGAAGGCGCCAUCCUGCCUGCCACAGGAAGGGCCUUGGACUGAGAGGACCGGAGCUGACUGGGGAUUAUUCAAAGCCAAAAGCCAACAGAGCCCCCAUGGAGAAGUGGAGGAUGCUCAGAUACUGCUAUGGAGCCCUGAGAAGUGAAAUGGGUCCAAGCCCUUGCCCAGGAUAGAGCGCUCCAAGCGCAUCCUCCGGGGACCCUUUUAAUCAGUGAAUUGUUCACCUCUCACUGUUUCUUCCCAGCAGAGCUAAGAGACUUCUAGAGCCUCUUGUGGAUGGUCAGCGAUAGCCCUGAUUGAACAUUUGAGCAAGACCAGAUGCCUUUAUAUCCAAUAGAUGCCACGGAGAGUAGAUCACAACACAUCUAACUGCUGUAUCCCCAUAUAAAAUAAUUUUAAUUUUC
rnacentral:lncRNA from 1 species